GGCGCGAGCGUUGUCCGGAUUUCUUGGGCGGAAAGAGCUCGUAGGCGGCUUGUUGCGUCGGCUGUGAAAACCCAUGGCUCAACCGUGGGCUUGCAGCCGAUACGGGCAGGCUAGAGUUCGGUAGGGGAGACUGGAAUUCCUGGUGUAGCGGUGAAAUGCGCAGAUAUCAGGAGGAACACCGGUGGCGAAGGCGGGUCUCUGGGCCGAGACUGACGCUGAGGAGCGAAAGCGUGGGGAGCGAACAGG
rnacentral:rRNA from 1 species